CCAGCUUCGUGUGGCCACUUAGCCUGACGGCAAUUGUUAGGUUAAGUUCAGCUGGAUCUGGAAAAGUUAACCUGGAAAGCCGUCACAGUAACGCGCGUUAAACGAUGGAACGACACUGAGAAGCGGAACACUCCAUAAACACACCUCUCCUUCAGCUCCAGAUGCAGACAGAGAGACAGGUUCCUGAGCGGCACGUACCACAGCGCGACAGGGGGGUUCACAGACCAGAAUACUCAUAUACAACAUAUUCACGUGCAAAUAAAAGAUCCCAGGACGGCGUGAGCACAGGUGAUCGGGGAGGAGAUGAAGAGCGAGACAAUGAAGAUUCCUCCCGUCCAAGGGUUGUCACAGCCGUAAACUUGGCCUAUUCCCACAGGGACUGACAUGAACAGCUGAAGAGGUACAGAGAGAAAGGUUGAACAUAAUUAUACCUAACCUGAGCUAGAAUCCAUUCGCCAGAGAUACUGAAAUCACCAAGCAGUAAAUGUACAAUAC